GGGGAAUAUUGGACAAUGGGCGCAAGCCUGAUCCAGCCAUACCGCGUGGGUGAAGAAGGCCUUCGGGUUGUAAAGCCCUUUUGUUGGGAAAGAAAUCCUGUCGAUUAAUACUCGGUGGGGAUGACGGUACCCAAAGAAUAAGCGCCGGCUAACUUCGUGCCAGCAGCCGCGGUAAUACGAAGGGUGCAAGCGUUACUCAGAAUUACUGGGCGUAAAGCGUGCGUAGGUGGUGGUUUAAGUCUGCUGUGAAAGCCCUGGGCUCAACCUGGGAAUUGCAGUGGAUACUGGAUCACUAGAGUGUGGUAGAGGGAUGCGGAAUUUCUGGUGUAGCAGUGAAAUGCGUAGAGAUCAGAAGGAACAUCCGUGGCGAAGGCGGCAUCCUGGGCCAACACUGACACUGAGGCACGAAAGCGAGGGGAGCAAAC
rnacentral:rRNA from 1 species